GAGGAAUAUUGGUCAAUGGGCGAGAGCCUGAACCAGCCAAGUAGCGUGCAGGAUGACGGCCCUCCGGGUUGUAAACUGCUUUUAGUUGGGAAUAAAAAAAGGGACUUGUCCCUUCUUGUAUGUACCUUCAGAAAAAGGACCGGCUAAUUCCGUGCCAGCAGCCGCGGUAAUACGGAAGGUCCAGGCGUUAUCCGGAUUUAUUGGGUUUAAAGGGAGCGUAGGCGGAUUGUUAAGUCAGCGGUUAAAGGGUGUGGCUCAACCAUGCAUUGCCGUUGAAACUGGCGAUCUUGAGUGCAGACAGGGAUGCCGGAAUUCGUGGUGUAGCGGUGAAAUGCUUAGAUAUCACGAAGAACUCCGAUCGCGAAGGCAGGUGUCUGGGCUGCAACUGACGCUGAGGCUCGAAAGUGUGGGUAUCAAACAGGAUUAGAUACCCUGGUAGCCCACACAGUAAACGAUGUAUACUCGCGGUUUGCGAUAGACAGUAAGCCGCCAAGCGAAAGCAUUAAGUAUACCACCUGGGGAGUACGCCGGCAACGGUG
rnacentral:rRNA from 1 species